AUGGUUUGCGUGUCUGAUUCUGCCCACUCCCCAUCCCUAGGCUGUCAGCUCCCCUCGACAGGAAGCCAACUCCAAAGGCCCACCAAAAAUCACUCCCAGGCUCAUGGCUCAUGCAAGUGCCCUGCGGACCAUUGGUGGGAGACACAGGGGCCCUUCUGCAGGUGGGUCAGUCUCCUGCUGGCCACUAGCAACGCCCGGCUGCCAGUGCUCCAGGGAACCAUGGAGAAGGCAGAGCCAAGGCAGCUGGAAGGAAUUUCCGUUUGUCCAUUCUUGCCAGGCCUGCUUCUGCUUUAUUUCAGCAAGGGGCUCAGCGCCUCAGAAACGUCCCACCGAACAUUCUUGUUUUCAAAGGAGGUGCUCCACAUGAGCGCUGUCUGACUGACCUUGACCAGGACCUGUGAAACCAACACACUGGCUGCCUUCGGGGACACUGGCCAAGGAGUCUGACUGGCCUGGGCCCCCACCCUGCCAUUCCUGGGCAAACCACGUCCCCCCUCAGAGCUUCUGCCCCUUCAGCGAUUAUGCAUGCCCACUCCUGUGAGAAGCUGAAGACAGGUUAUAGGUAGAGGCAUUUAUAAACUGCAAGCUGCCUUGAUGGCUAGCUUGUUGAAAUCAGUGAGAAAAAAUUUAAUUUCAGUUUCUAAGAUUUUUAAAAAUGGUGUAAUACCCAACAAGGGGUUUAUGUGAAUGUUCUCUUUCUAGUGCGGUGCUUCCUUUCACUUGCAGGGGCAGCCCCAGGCCCUUGCGUUGGCUGCUUACUGUAUUCUACUGAGUCCAGUUGAAAAUAGUCAUUCAUUUGCCAACGUUUUUUGAGCAUCUACUUUGCCAGGCUGUUAUGGGUGGAAUUGUGUCCCCCACUCCCCCGCCCCCGCCACCAAAAGAUACGCUGAAGUCUAAGCCCCUGGUAUCUGUGAAUGUGACCUUAUUUGGAAAUAGAGUCCUUGCAAAUACAAUCAGGUUAAGAUGAGGUCAUACUCGCCCUACUCCAAUAUGACUGGUGUCCUUCUAAGAAGAGAGACCCAGAGCCAGACACAGACCCAGAGGGGAGAGUACUGUGUGAGAGUGGAGAACUUGGAGUGUUGGUGCCAGAGCCAAGGAAGGCCCAGGACUACUAGAGCUGGAAGACACAAGGAAGGAUCCUCUCCUAGGGGCUUUGGAGGGAACGUGACCCUAUAAGACCUUGAUUUUGGAUGUCCAGCCUCCAGAACCGUGAGAGAAUAAGUUUCUGUUGUUUCAAGCCACCUACUUUAUGGUACGUUGUUAGGGCAGCCCUAGGAAACUAAUACCUUGGCAGGCUGGGGAUCUGGUGGAGAAAAAGACAAACAGCCUGCCCUCACAGAACUCACGUUCUAAUGAAGGAGGCAUGACCAUAAACAUGGUCGGAUAAAUAUGAACAUGGUAGAUUCAGGUACUGAGGGGAUUAAACAAGGACACGAGAUAUUUUAGUUCUCACUGGAAGGAAGGGAAGCCCACUGAGGGGGAGGCUGGUGGAACUAGAUCAUAGAGGGCCUUGGGGUGGGAAAAGGGACUGUCAUGGAGCCAGAGUGGCUGUAGACAGACUUAACUGGGUUGUUCAUGGAUAAUGGUGGCUUUUGGAAGAGAAUGUUGGAGAUGAAGCCACGUGGGCAGAUUCAACAUAUCUCAUGAUGGUACAACCAAAGGGUCUUGCCGACAGAUUGGUUGUGGCGUCGUGAGCAAGAGAGGAAUCGAGGAUGAAUCUAGAUUUUUGGCUGAAGCCAAAACCAUUUAUUUUUGGGGUGAGUGGUGAGGUCAUUUAUUAUAAUGGAGAAGAUCAGGGAAGGCACG
ensembl:lncRNA